GAUGAGCGCUGACAGAAUGCUUAACACAUGCAAGUCAACUUGAAUUUGGGUUUUUUAACUUAGAUUUGGGUGGCGGACGGGUGAGUAACGCGUAAAGAACUUGCCUCACAGCUAGGGACAACAUUUGGAAACGAAUGCUAAUACCUGAUAUUAUGAUUAUAAGGCAUCUUAGAAUUAUGAAAGCUAUAUGCGCUGUGAGAGAGCUUUGCGUCCCAUUAGCUAGUUGGAGAGGUAACGGCUCACCAAGGCGAUGAUGGGUAGCCGGCCUGAGAGGGUGAACGGCCACAAGGGGACUGAGACACGGCCCUUACUCCUACGGGAGGCAACAGUGGGGAAUAUUGGACAAUGGACCAAGAGUCUGAUCCAGCAAUUCUGUGUGCACGAUGACGUUUUUCGGAAUGUAAAGUGCUUUCAGUUGGGAAGAAAAAAAUGACGGUACCAACAGAAGAAGUGACGGCUAAAUACGUG
rnacentral:rRNA from 1 species